UGGCGUAUCGUAUAAUGGCAAUUACUUUCGGCUCUAACCCGAAAAAUCACCGUUCGAAUCGGUGUGCGCUGAC
rnacentral:tRNA from 1 species